CACAGCUUUUAAGAAGCAAUUAUUUCUGAUGGUAAUUGCGUUUCCCAGACGCAAUUCUGUAACAUCGGUAACUGGGGCAAGGAGCAUAGUUACGUAUGGGGAGGGUCUUCCAGAUCUCGAAUCAGGGCCUUGGGGCUAUGUGAAGGACAAAAUGGUGGCGGCGGUGCAAGGCCAUCCCUGUGAUGAGUACCCUUUCACAGACCUGUACUGACUUCCGUGAGGAUAUGUAACUCUGAGGAAGAUGGCCCUGUGUCAAAGCCUUGUGCCUCCUGCCGAGCUUUCUCUUCAAAAGUGCUAUGUAAGUGACCGAAUGCUAAUUACUGUUGCAGAUGGGUGACACGUGACUGCAUACGGAAGGAUGAAAGUGUACUCUCAAUGGAAUAUGGAUACUCUAUACGGACUUUACAAUUUGGAGCCUGGCUAAAUCAGCAUCCUGAAACGUUCUGAAGAAUCCAAAACGGUCUUCCAGGAUGAAUUUAACUCCAGGUUGUCCUGAUGGUUUGUCCAAAGGAGGAAUUCAUGGCUAUAUAUCACCAAUCUCCAGCAUCCAAAGGUUCUGUUAAUAGCAUACUUCUUGGCUCAGGUGGUUGAGAGAUCUGGUAUUUGGCCUAGAGAGCACCAAGAAGACCUGCCAGGGAAAUUAAGCAUGAUUUCACCCAAGGCUGUGCUGUAAUGAGGUCUGAGGAAAGAGUGACCUAACUGCAGGAGGAAGGAAUCCCAAGUCUUCAAAGACAAAGAUUUUGUUUGACUAUUUGCCAUCUUAAUUUAAUAAAAUUGUUCUUCACCA